UGUUAAAAGUUCCAUCAAUUUUUACUGUUAAAAACUGACGUCAACACGUAACACGUGGCGUGUCAUGUGUACCUUAUUUUGUUUACAUAGACCAAUUUUUAAUAGUAAAAAUGGAUGAAAUGUUUAACA
rfam:Gossypium arboreum cultivar AKA8401 contig_1731_1, whole genome shotgun sequence.